rnacentral:rRNA from 1 species
UACGGAGGAUGCGAGCGUUGUCCGGAUUUAUUGGGCGUAAAGCGAGCGCAGGUGGUUUAUUAAGUCUGGUGUAAAAGGCAGUGGCUCAACCAUUGUAUGCAUUGGAAACUGGUAGACUUGAGUGCAGGAGAGGAGAGUGGAACUCCAUGUGUAGCGGUGAAAUGCGUAGAUAUAUGGAGGAACACCGGUGGCGAAAGCGGCUCUCUGGCCUGUAACUGACACUGAGGCUCGAAAGCGUGGGGAGCAAACAGG